rfam:Callithrix jacchus chromosome X, whole genome shotgun sequence
UUUUUUGUAUAAGUAUGUCCCAUGCAACAUUUGGGAUAUACUUAUACAAAAA